rnacentral:tRNA from 1 species
GGCGCGUUGGCAGAUUGGUUAUGCAACGGAUUGCAAAUCCGUAGAAUCUGGUUCAAUUCCAGGACGCGCCU